rnacentral:lncRNA from 1 species
CAUCAUACUAUGGGUAGCAUUUGUGUCCUAUUUCCAUAGGUUCAAGUUGUUAUUAGCAGGAGCAAGAACAUAAUUGUUCUUAGCAGGCUGACCAAAAGGUGUAAUUUUUCUGCCACCAAUUUGUUCAGUUUUCCUUGUCCUGCACUUAUUGGCUUCACCUCAAAAGUUUCUUCAUGUUUGCAGGGAAGUAGCAACACCUUGCAACAGGACUUACUGAAACAGGAAUAAGAGUCGGCAGAGUAACUAGAAUAUGCAGAGCAACUGCUAGCCAAAACGUCAAGAUCUUAAAUUUAACAUGAGUGAAAUGAAAGUGCCAUAUGAUCUUUUUCAUGAUCACUUUAGGUAUGGCUCACUUACAAAAACUAUGCAGGUUUCUCUUCAUUAAUGUGGUGGUCAUUUAUUUUAGAAAACUUACAUGUCUUCAGGCAAGUGGCUAAAUGUGGAAAGGUACCAUAAUUUAUUAUGGGCAUGUAUAAACAAUAGCAUGAUAGUGGACCUCUGUUUUAUUGCCCAGCUUGAAAAAUUCAGCAAGG